UGAAUCCAUCGGUAGCGGAGACCCACCUAGAGGCCUCAACCUGGCUUUUGUUUGGUUGUUUUUAACUUCUGUCAUUCUCCCUUCGUCUCUUAGGAAUGCGUCCUUGACCGGAGAGGUCGGAAAGCUGGCCGGUUCUAGGCCCCGAGAAAACGCCGCCCCCUCCGGGAAGUCCUCGAGCCUGCAGGAGACAUCUAGCCCGCUGUCCAGGGCACCUUUUUUUUUCUCCCUAUAUUUCGGUUGCUCGCGUCUCUUGGUGUGGUUUGCCCACGUCUGCAGCGCCAGACAGCAUUCCUUCUGCGUGGAACAUGCCAACCCUCGUCUGCUUUGACUUUGCAAAACUGCAUGAGACCGCCGGGCGCGGUGGCUCACGCCUGUAAUCCCAGCACUUCAAGAGGCCGAGGCAGACAGAUCACCUGAGGUCAGGAGUUUGAGGCCAGCCUGGCCAGCAUGGUGAAACCCCGUCUCUACUAAAAAUACAAAAAAUCAGCCAGUAAUCCUAGCUACUCGGGAGGCUGAGGCAGGAGAAUCGCUUGAACCCAGGAAGCAGAGGUUGCAGUGAGCCGAGGUCAUGCCAUUGCACUCCAGCCUGGGCUACAAGAGUGAAACUCCGUCUCAAAAAAGAAAAAAAAAAAGAAAAAAAGACUGCAUAUGACUCCCCAGUGAAGCCCUCCCUGAUUGGCCUCUGCAGAAGGCAGCAUGCCCGGGCUUUGGAGUCAGACCUGCAUACAAAUCCUUGUUUUGCCGGUGUGACCUUGCCAAGUCUUCUUUCCUGCAGGACAGAAGGCGGCAGCAGCUCUCCCUGAACUGGCACUCUGGCUUCUCUUGCCCCAGGGUCUGUUUCUGCUCCUUGGACAGCAGGCGCAUGUGGGAACUGUGCCCUCUUCAGCCAUGAGCCCCUGUUCUGCGCACAUCUAGCCCAUCUUCCAGAUGGACAGACAGUCUGUGGUCGUCGCCAAACCCCUGAAUCUGGCCCUGCCCGCAGUCAGAGGGAUGGCAAUUUGUAAGCUACAGACUAUUGCGAAUCAUUCACUUGGAGACUGAACUAAGACUACUGGCACCAGGCUCCGUAGACCCUCGGGAAGAGCAUGGUCUGGCAGGCAGACUGGAUGUGGCCACAGAUAACAUCCCCUAAGGGGAGAGCGUGAGCCUGCAGGCCAGAAUGCCACCACUUUCUCCUGUGUCGUUCCAGAGAGAGCCUGUGGCUAUGCACGCUUGCUGCUACAGAGGGUAGUGCUGUAUACCUCCUGGGCUCACUUACUGACUUUUCAGUCUAAGGGCUUAUUGCAAUUGGUACAUAACGAUCAUACUUUGUAAUGGUUAAGUAAUAUUCCAUCAUAUGGAUGUGUUGUUUAUUUAACAUUCUGGUUGAAUAACCAAGACUUUUAGGUUUCCAGUUUUCCAGGAACAUCAUGCCCCUCCAUCAUUUGCCCACCUGGAAGGAUAACUACAGGAUAAGCAGCUCUUAGAACUGGAAUUGCUGAGUUAACUGCUCUGUGCAUUUCCUUGCUUUUUCUUGCUUUUCUUUUCUUUCUUUUAUUAUUUUUUUGGGUAAAUUUUUAUUGAACUAUAGCAUAGCGUAGAUACAGGAAAGUGUAAAAACUUAAAUGUACAAUUCAAUGAAUUUUCGCUAGGCAAACACUGUGUCACCAGCACCCAGAUUUAGAAACAGAAUAUUACCAGAAUCCCAAAAGCCCCAUGAGCUGCCGUCCAGUCACUACUUACCGUUUCCCUGAUCCCCUGCAUAGGAUAAUCCUUAUCAUGGCUUCUGACACUUUCGGUUGGUUUUGGAUGUACUGACACUUUUUGUGUGUGUGUGACACUUUUAUAAUACAAAGAAAAUCAUACAGU
rnacentral:lncRNA from 1 species